rnacentral:lncRNA from 1 species
GGGAAACACAGGAGAGGGAGAAACGAGCUGAAAAUUGUGGCUCAUGUUGCACACCCUGGCCCUGUUGUGGAAAGAAACCAUCUCCAAGGAGCCAAUAGGAUUGUAACCAAGGCAGACCAUCGUGCUGAGAAGAUGGGGGCAGGAAGACCAUUUCUGCUUCUUACAGUGACUUUGAACUUCUACCUGUCCUGCUUCCAUUUUUCAUCUGACGGUGCUUUCCCUGGUCUCAAGGAGAUGCCAUCUCCCCUGCAUCCUAGUCCCCGAGAGUUUACUGGUGCCUUCCCUUCUACUUGCCUCUGCCUUCAAUAAAUUUUGUAUUACCUCGA